rnacentral:tRNA from 1 species
GCGGAUGUGGCGGAAUUGGUAUACGCGCAAGACUAAGGAUCUUGUGGGAGUUAAUCCCGUGCAGGUUCAAGUCCUGUCAUCCGCACCA